rnacentral:rRNA from 1 species
UACGGAGGGUGCAAGCGUUAUCCGGAUUCACUGGGUUUAAAGGGUGCGUAGGCGGGCAGGUAAGUCCGUGGUGAAAUCCCCGAGCUUAACUUGGGAACUGCCGUGGAUACUAUCAAUCUUGAAUAUCGUGGAGGUAAGCGGAAUAUGUCAUGUAGCGGUGAAAUGCUUAGAUAUGACAUAGAACACCAAUUGCGUAGGCAGCUUACUACACGAUCAUUGACGCUGAGGCACGAAAGCGUGGGGAGCAAACAGG